GCAGGAGGAGAGAGAGAGGUUGAGAGGGUCGACAGAGGGAAUCGACAGGCUAGAGAAGGAGAGGGGACGGCAGGAUUCGGCAGGUUUUGGCCGGGACGGGGAAGAAUCGACAGGCAUUUGCCAAGAGCGACCGGGAGAACGCACGCAGGCUGUGAAGGAACCCCCCGCAGCGAACCCCAAGAACCAAACAACACGCAGGGGCAGAGGAAACUCUGCCUCCCAAGUAAGUCCCGUGUGUUGUGGAUCUGUGGGGACACCCAACUGCCUUUGGCUGUGGGCUUGCGGGCUCGUGCGUCGUACGCUGGCUGUGUGGUUCUGUGGACAGGGGGGCGAUUUGGACCCAGGGACCUGCGGCGACCCCCGGAAGCGACCAGGAGGCGGAGCGGGACGGGUACUGCCACGUAGGUCCCGCGAGUGACCAGAGACUGGCGAGGAGAGUGGGCGUACCCAAUACGUUGAUACAGAACUACAGCAAAGGCAGGGGAAACCCCGCCUUGCAUGAGGAUGCCGUGGCAGUGGGCGGAGCCAAGAUACGGACCCACAUGCCUGUCGUGACUGUAACCUCGCCCAUUACAUUUGCUACCAUUUGGUAUUUUAGUGUCGACAACGUGACUGGUUUUUAAUUGUAUUUUAAUAAAUUGUGAACCAGUAUAA